rnacentral:rRNA from 1 species
UACAGAGGGGGCAAGCGUUGUUCGGAAUUACUGGGCGUAAAGGGCGCGUAGGCGGCCUGCUAAGUCGAACGUGAAAUCCCCGGGCUCAACCCGGGAACUGCGUCCGAUACUGGCAGGCUUGAAUCCGGGAGAGGGAUGUGGAAUUCCAGGUGUAGCGGUGAAAUGCGCAGAUAUCAGGAAGAACACCCGUGGCGAAGGCGGCUCUCUGGGACGGUACUGACGCUGAGACGCGAAAGCGUGGGGAGCGAACAGG